UUCUUCUUCGGGUUUUUUUUUUUCCUUCUUAUUCAUCCCAAUCGAAUAAGCCACUGGAUCUCGUCUUUCCCAAACUCCUCCAUUUUGCACUCUGUAACUCAAUCAUCGUCGUCUCCACCAAGCCCUAAACCUCGAUCUCUCCUUGAACGACGAUUACGUCUCAUAAUCAUCUCUGCAAGACCUCGCAAACCCCUCAAUUUCAGUCCUUCAUGCGUCUCCUCAGAUUCCAAGUCCCCUGAUUCGAUAAAGGAGAGACGGAUGCAGCAGAGGCAACCAGUAGUCAUGGCUGAAAUCCUCGUCUCUCUCUUGCAGACUGGGAAAGCUUUUCUUAAGCAACCCAAGGUCUUCCUAAGCUAGAAGAAAUCUGGGAAAGGAAAGAGACUUGUUAAAGGUGGAAACCGUUUCUGGAAGAACAUUGGUUUGGGUGUUCAGACUCCAUUGAAGGAAAGUGUGUGUGGACUGUGGUGUUCAUUGGCAUGAUUCUAUGAGUUGUGAAGAGUUUCAGAUUCUUCCGGUUGAUGAAAGAUAUCCAGAUGAUAUCACAUUGCAUCGCUUGGCUAGGUGUGGACAUGAGUUUUGCUACUGUUACGGAGCAGAGUACAGACAAGGACAACAUAGUUGCACUUGUGACACAUUCAACUCAGAGCAAGAAACCGUCUCAGCUAGCUCUGAUCCAACGGUUCUUAGUGGGUGGUGGUGGUUUAGUCUCAGUGAUCACCAUACUUCUUAUCAGUCGCCGCAGCCUCCAUGUAGAGAGUCAUCGUAUGUUUAAGCAGCCAUGAAAAUCUUCACCAGCUUCCUUGCCUUGAAAGUUUCAUAUGCGACGACUCUGAAUGAAGUUGUUUGAAUGGUGUAUUGGUAGGAGGACGGGAUGGAAUCGGAUCUAGAGAAGCUCUUUAUUGGUUGGAUUUCAAGGACGCAUGAAGAAAAGUUUAAAACCGGUUGUGAUGUUAGAACCAAUGUUAAACAUGUU